rnacentral:lncRNA from 1 species
AUGAUUUUUAUUUAACAUUCACAUUUUGUGGCACAAAACAACUUAGAUACAUGAUGUGUGAGGACCAGAACUUACUUUUUUCUUAUAUCUUCAAACCAAUUUAAAAAGAUGAUAACUUCCCAUGUUAUUUUGUGAAAACACCUUUUACAUCAAGAAUAACUGCUUGGGGCCAGCAAACACAUAAGCAUAUAUGCAAUAUACCCAAACAUUUGCCAAAUAGACUUAAAUGCAUUCUCAACACUCAAAUUCAAAUAUAUUUUUCAAGGUUUAACUCAAUGAACCCACAAAUAAUCAAGAUGUAUAAUAUAGAACACCAUACAAUUAUAGUCAUUAUCAGAGUAAAGCAGAUUGGACACUUAAUACAUAUUCCAUAUAUAGAAUCUUUUCAUCUUGUGAUUUCAACUCAUACCUCAAAAACAUUAAUUAAACUUUACAAUGUGGCCAGAUGAGGCAUAGUUAUUAUUGGCUCUCUUUUAACCAACCUAUUUAUAAAGGUAAAUAUCUGCAUAAAGAAAGAAUGCAAAUGAGGACUGGUUUUCCUAAUGUCCAUUUCUAUAAGCACCUCCCUAAAAAAGGCAGAGUACAAAAUGUUUUCCUCUUUUGAUCACAGGGAUUCCCCCAGGGUGUUAGGUUUUAGUUCUUCUCCAAACUUCUCAUGGCAGAUUUUCAGACAGACAGACAGACAUUCCUGGAAGGCUUGUUAUCCAGUGAGUGGGAUUUUCCUUAAAAAUGGGAGAGACAGCCAGGCUCUGUGGCACAUGCUGUAAUCCCAGCAAAUCUGAGGCUGAGGCAGAGGGAUAGCAAGUUCAAGGCCAGCCUCAGCAACUUAGCAAGACCCUGUCUCAAAAUUUUAAAAUAUUUUUUUAUAGGCCUGGGUGUGUAAGUAGCUUAAUGUAAAAUGCCCCUGGGUUGAUUGGGCUCAAUCCCCAGUUACUUAAUGUGUCAAGAUAAAAAGAACUGCUGGGUAAAAGGUAGUUGGUGUUUUGCUAUCAUUUUUUCUGAAGGACCAUCUUUAAAGCCUGGAAAUACAGACAGUAACCAAGCUGUAUUGAGAUAGUAUAUCAAAAUAAGGGUUUGUUAUGUGCUACCAACAGCAGUGGACUGUUAUGAGAUGGCUGAGGAAGUCAAACAUCAUUUUCCUAUCCUGAGGUUGUUUUAUAAAAAGGAACAAAUACUGAACCUAUGGUACUAAAUAAAAUGUGAACAUAACACAGAACUCAUAUUUAAUAAAAUAUUUUAUUGUCUAUGGAAAACUACUGCAUCAACUGAAGACUCACUUGGUACAUCAACCAUUUGAGUACUUAGACCCUUAGCUCAGAGAUUUUAACUGUUAUACCUCUGAACCAUCUAGAAAGCAGAUUUAAAAACUAAAAAUUAGGGAAAGGCCAUUUUCCCCAGGGGUCUGGGAGUGGGGAACCAGACCAGCCACAGAUUACUUCUCACUUUGGUGCUACCAAACACUUAUUAUGGAGUUGCAGGGCCUAUUUUAACCUUUUGUACAUUUUAUCAAGGACUUUCAGUCCCCCUCCCCGAAACCUGCUUUAAUGUUUGAUCUUCUAAUGGCAUUAAGGUCUUUCUUUUUCUCAAAAGCAAGGCCAAUUUAGGUUUAAAUCAGUAGUUCCCAACUCUGACUACACAAUAGAAUCACCUGGGGAGUAUUAAAAAAACCAUGAAUGCCCAGGUCCAAACCUAUCCAAUUCAACCAGAAUCUCUUGUAUGUAGGGCCUCAAUUAUCAGUAUUAAGAAUGUCAGGUGAUUCCAUGUGCCUCCAAGGUUGAAAGAACAAAGCUGCAGGUGAAAUAAGCAAAACCUGGUGGGGCUGAUAAACCCUUUCACACCUAAAACUUCAUAAUUUAAUGCCUAAAAUUUCACAAUUACUUAUUCACCCCUUUGGUAAAACAAUGUUUCCCUCUCUAGGAAUCUUUCUCAAAUUUAAAUUAGCCAAGGGACCUAGUUCUUCCCUUUAAGGUGAAUGCCUCUUGGCUAAUAAAGUUCUAAAUAUUUGGACAGCCUUCACGCCUAUAAUCCCAGCUACUCAGAAGGCUGACAAAGGAGGGUUGGAAUUUCAAGGUCAUCUUUGGCAAUUUUGUGAGACCCCCUUAGAAAAACAGUCCUAAGUGCCUGAAGGUAAACCCUAGUAGAAGGGGCUGCAAUGGGGAGUGGGGAAAAGUAAGAUUACCUACAAGGAAGGAAGGAUUUCUGAGAGUCCAUUUUGCUAACUUCACAGUAUUACUGCCUAGUGCCAAGCCUGCUCUGUAAUGAGUAUAUACUUAAAGGUCUAGUCAAGUCUGACAGCUUAUCUCAACUGCCAAAAUUAUGUUAAAGUAAAUUUUACAUAUUUUUCAUAAGUAAAGCAAAGAGUAGACAUUAGGAAUAUAGGUUUAGAGCUCUCUGAUAAAUGCCCACCUUCUGAAUUACCACUCACCAUAUGGAAGUUUCCAUUACCAAGUUAUCUAUUUUUCCUGAUUCUGUUAAAUGCCCUUUAUUCCUACAAACAGCAUUAUUUCUCUUGCCAAUUCAUUUAGUCAUUCAACAAAAAUGUAUUGAGCAAGUACUCUCAGCAAGGCAUGGCGCUAGAUGCCAUGAGGAAAUACUGAACCAAUACAAAAUUCCAUUGGUAGUUGAUGUUAGUUUUUCAAAGCACUUUCACAUACAAUUUUAUUUUAUCCUCAUAGUAACACAUGAGAUAGGUGAAGUAUCAUCCCCAUUUUACAGAUGAGAAACAGGUUCAGCAAAGGACACACAAAUUAUUUACCAAAGUCACAAAGCAAUGUACAGACGAUUUAAAUCCAGUUAUUCACUAACUUCAAAUAUAGUGCCUUUCAUAGCUAACAAUUUAAUAAGACAUGUCAUAUAACAGUCUUAAGUGGCAAAAAGUUAGGAAAAGGCAUUUAGAGCCCCACCCACCAGGAGAACAAAAAUGAGGAAUAAAGUAAAUCCUUUAUUGAGAUGAGCCAAAUCACAAGGCCCAAAAGGAAACCAAGCUUAGAUGAAGUUCAGGCCAUCAUCUAGAAGGCAGGACAAAGUAGCAGGCAAUGCACAUUUCAGGAUAGAGGAGCAUUUUGGAGUAUCAGUUUCUAGAGUAUCAGUCCAUUCCGUGGCUGAUCUUCACAGGACAUAGAAAGCAGCUCCUUCUCCUGGCUAAAUCCAGGCAAACACUGAACAAACCUUGCCUGAAGACCCGUUAUGAUCCAGUCGCUGAGCAUACAGAGACAACCCUUGACCUCAAUGGUUCUCAAUUGGCUUAGUGGGUGAGGCAGACAAUUACAAGACAGAGUAAUAAAGGCUACUAUGGGAACAUAAAGGAGGACACCUGGCCCAGCCUAGUAGAGAGGGUGGGACAGAAAAGAGGAAGGGGAGGGAGUUAAGAAUUACUUCCAGAAAAAGAAAUUCAAUUUAAAGCCUGGAGGGUGGGCAGGAAUUAGAAGGCUAGGGAAGUGAAAUGGAGCCUAGAGCACAAAGAAGGAAGACAGGGAGUGCAUUUAAGUCCUAAGGGUAAAAGAGUCAUAUUCAGGAAAUUGUAAGGAGACCAGUUUAUUAGGACAUAACUUCAGUCCUAACCAGACUCUGGAAAGCUAAAGAGGAAAAUAAAGAAAGCAUCCAGCCAGAUUGUGAGUUCAAAGCCAGUCUCAGCAAAAGCGAAGCACUAAGCAACUCAGUGAAACCCUGUCUCUAAAUAAAAUACAGAAUAGGGCUGGGGAUGUGGCUCAGUGAUGGAGUGCCCCUAAGUUCAAUCACUGGUACCCUCCCCCCCAAAAAAAAAGAAAGCAUCCAAGGGCUGGGGCUGUAACUUAGUGACAGAGUGCUUGCCUAGCAUAUGUUGAGGCUUUGGGAUUCAUCCUUAGCAUCACAUAAAAAUGAACAAAUAAAAUAAAGGCAUGCUGACUAUACACAACUACAAAAAAAUUUUUUUAAAAAGAAAGCAUCCAAGUCUCAAAUCUUGUACGUCAAUUCCUAGGCCUCUUAGUACCAAAUAUUACUCAUACCGUAUUUGCUGUUGGAGCUGUGGCUAUUGAUAAUACUUCCUGCCUUGAGCCAUACUGGUUUAAGAAAUAGACUUAAGGUUGGGCUCAGCCAUAGAAAUAGCUGAGACCCGG